AUAUAAAUAUUGGGCUGGGCACCAGAAAAGGCAUCAGUAAGUUACUAUCGUCGCUUGCCAUUACAGCUAGUUUUCCAGUUUAACCAAACGAAACAAAACCAGCCACCAACAUGUUCAAGUUAAUCUUUUUGGUUGUUGCUGCCCUUGCCUUGAUCGCCGUAGCAACUGGCCAAUCGCUCUACUACCCAAAUACUUACAGAUACCCGGCAUACGGCAACUACUAUCCGGUAUACAACUACCCCAUGUCUUCUUACUCUCCGUGGUCUCUGUACCGCUGAUGGAUCAACAAUGAUUUGAAUCUACUUUCUUCGUUUUCUUUUUCUUAUACCGACUAACCUCCAGAGACCUUAAUACGGAAUCUUGAUAAUUUUUAUUUCAUUUUAAAAAAUACUAACAAAUAAAAAACUAUAUCUAUCAAUCAAA